ACACGCAAAAUCCAUUCGUCUUCUUCACGAAGACUCACUCUUGCUUCCUCAUCAUCUCUCGUCUUCGAUCCAUCUCUCUCACCCUCAAUAUCAUUCAGACUCCCAAUCCCUCAUCAUCUCUCAAACGCUCACACUCUCUACUCUCACUAUACAUGCAAAAAUCCAUGGCAUUUAAGAGAUUCAAACAAAUAAAUCUCACCUUCGGUGGUGGUUCGGUGAGGCUUGGAUCUGCCUUCUUUACCUCAAAGUUUUCUCUUUGAGGUUCUUCUCUUUCGCCGUUUCAAUCUAGGUUUUUCCGCCGUUUUCGAACUAGGGUUUUCGUGGCCGCCCAGAUUUUAGGUUUUUCCGUGGUCGCGUUCGUCCUCUCCCCUCUCACCUUUUAUACUCAACAACUAGGGUUUCAGAUUGGCCUCUAGAGAUCAAAAAGGGGUUUCUGCGAAAUCCCUUUAGAGUUGUCAGAUUUUGGUCGCCCUAUUUGAUGUUUGGAUUCGGAAAAGUGAAUUUUGACACUUAGCAGGAGCCUAUGGUGAAAUUGGUGUUUUCUAGCCUAUUGGUUUUGCUGCAACAUGUGAGCAAUUGGGAACAUCCCUCUUUGCAGGUACGGUUUGGUAUGAUUAAGGUUUUGGAGUGUUACAAACUGGAUUUGCAAUUGGUCUACACAGGACGCGUGCCAAGGUUAAUUGUCGACGCAUUGCAGCUUGGAUCUUUUGCAUUGCCGACAUAUUGCUGUUGCUGCAAGUUGUGAUGGUGUUAUCAGUUAGGAUUGUUAUUUGGAAGUUAAUGCAGUUGGUUGGUUCUCUUCUGAUGCAGGUUCUGCUAUUGACCCAAACUAAGGAGAGAAACAAACAAUUCCUAAAUUUUGUUACUCAAAGAACCAAUACCUUCCGUAUCAAAUUUGGUUAAUGUAUGGCUGCAAUUAGAAAGUUGAUUAUUCAUGAAUCAAAAUCUUAGCGCAACUUUGAGGUAUCUGGCUUAUGAUGAAUCCCGCAAUGCUAAAUUGACUUGGGAAUACAGAAGAGACUAAAUGGAUUAUGGUGUUGAACCGCACAACUCAUUAAUAUGCUGUUUCUUUUGUAGGUAUCUCUAUGGAACGGAAAGCAGUUUGGGAUAGAAAGAGAUGAUGACAUGAAACAUGGUGGCGGUGGAAGUUAAUGCGUAGGAAUUAUAUGCUAGAACUUUAGGUCAUAAAUUUGUACCUUUGGAAUUUGAUUCUUGUGUAAGGUAUUGACAUGCUUGGAAAGAGGAAUUAGAAAUUAUGACAAUGUUUUGAGCAUGUAACCUAUGGUUGGAAUUGGUUUCUAACUUUUAAUUUUUGUGAUU